GCAGACCCUCCCUCCCAGACCCUCCCACCUCCUGGACAGCAUCCAUGUUGAAGGCAGACCCUCCCUCCCAGACCUUCCCACGCUUCAACAUGGAUGCUGUCCAGGAGGUGGAAGGGUCUGGGAGGGAGGGUCUGC